UAGAAAAAAAUUUAUUAAAAAUAGGCCUUUUUUUAUCCGACGAAACCCAUGUAACCCAUUAAGGGAGGUUAAAUUAAAGGUCAAGCUAGCGGUCACCACUAAAAAACAAUGUGAUUACUGUAAUAAUAUUCGCUGUUGUUCGAAGGAGUUUUCUGCAUUUCUAGUGAUUAUUUUAUCGAUGUCUUCGAGAUAUUUGUUAUAGUAAGUAGUCGUAAAGCCAUAUUAAUAAACGCUUUAGGUGUAAUCCUACUGAAGUUCACCAAGCCUUAGGUCGUAACCUUCUCUCUACCGUCGACCACUUUCACAAAUUUUAAAAUAGCCAUUACAUAUACCCUAGGCUUGCUGCUGGGGGUUUCUUCGAUGAGAUUUGCCGUGGUUAUUACCUUGUGAUUCUAAAUACAUACUAUGUUUUUAUUCCUUUUUUAUCGUUCCUGGGUUUCCAGAGCUUAUAUAGGUCCAGUUUUUUGCAGUUUUUUUGGCUUUUUAAAUAAUUGGUAGACAUUAUCAACAUUAAUAUUGAUUGUGAAUAGAAUAUUAAUUUUGUGUUUUUUUUUUCUAUUUCUUUCAGGUGUUUCCUUUCCAGUGAAUCCCAUAAUAAGAGUUAUUAGUUAACAUAAAAUAUGUUCGGUUAUCGGUAAUCGUAGUUCGAGUGCGUGUAAUAUCCCGUAAAAAGUUCGCUAAUAUGCGUUCGAUAACAAAUUAAAUACGUUCGGUGAAUGCUGCAAUAUAAUCGGAAUUUAUAUCUCGUGAGAGUUCGGUUGACGUCGUUAGAGAUAAUAUAAAAUGUGUUCGGUUAUAGGUGUUUGUUUUACGGGUCGCUUAAAAAAUCGUUAGCAUGCAUUCGGUAAAUACUUAAAUUUGUUUAAAUCUAAUCGGUACUUAUAUAAUGUCAGUGUUCGGUUGUCGCCGUAAUGUGUUCGGUAGAAUAGUGUAAUUUGCUUUGAAAUGAAUUGUGGACUGUGUACCUUCGCAAAUUAUUCGCAUCGCACAGUAGCGGUCGGCGUUAAUCGCUUUGAUGACAACAAAAGAUACCUCGCCAACAAAGAGAACGUUCUAAACGUCAAAGCGCGCAACUAAACACACACACGCAUAAAUAUAUACAAAUAUACCCACUGGUAUUCACCAGUGUGUGUGUGUGUGCCAAAGGAGGAGAAUGUCGAAUUGUAAUCGAACAAUGCAAUGUAUGGUGGCAAGACGAUUUGCGAUUUAUAUGAUGAGUUCUUGGGAUUUUUUCCAACACAACAAAAAUUAGUCGCAGCAAUGACGCUCGCGAAUAUUAUUUCUCUUUUUGACUCAAUGCAUGGGAUGAAUCGUUUAUUGUGAACAAGAGUAAAAGUAAAGUCGUUCACCGCUUUCUUUAAUAUAGUAAUUAUUUAGUGAAAAAUUCAAUCUAUUGCGUAGCAAUGUUCGAGUAUAUAUCUUUUCAUUUAGUAUAUUCUAAAGUGCAAAGUGCAUUUCGGCAAUAUUUUUCUCGUGUAAGCAGUGUUUCGUUUGUGCGUAUAAUCAAAUCGUGUGUACAGUAAGAGUUCGAGGUUUUGGUAGAUAAAAAAAUAGUGUGAAAGUGUGUUCGGUUUUUGGUUCGGUUACGUAAUAAAUAACUCGUAUGUGGGUUGAAAAAGUGAAAGUAUUGUAGUUCUAAUAUUGAUAUCAGGAUUUGUAGAUGUAGGCGGAUUCAACAAAUGGCAAAUAACUCCAAAACCAAAGCGUUAUU